UGAAGUUGGAGCAAUUUAGUAUACCCAAUUCAGCUAACCUGCAUGUUUUGGACUAUGGGAGUGUACACAGAAAGGUCUCCUGAACAAAGUCUUUGUCUGACUUAGCUCUUGCUUGAAUCAGAGACCUUUUUGCUGUGAGGAAACAAUGAUGCGUGCUAACCCACUGUGUUGCCCUCUACACUGAGCACACACUUCUCAAUCAUGGUAACAAUGAACAAACAUAAUUUUUUCAAAAUAACUCUAAUUACAACAUAUAACUAACAUUAACAACAUAACAACAUAAAUAAAGCCAGCAAACAUUAAAACAGUCAUCUUUUUUGUAAAUAUUAUUUUUUAGUAAAUAUUAACCAAAGAAGUGAACAUGUCGCAAUGCAUGCUGGGAACUAUUCAGACCAUUGUUUUUUUUAAUUGCUUGUUCAGAUUACUCAGUUUGGCAAGUUGGGUAAACAAAUUAGACAAAAACUUAAAACUCCAGUCAACAAAUGAUGAUUAUGCUUAUUUCAUUCAGUGAACACAAAUUAAUGAAUUGAUGCCCUUCAACAAGAAAAACUUAGUUUUUUGUUAAAAGAACAUUUUGAAGUUGGAUUUUUUACAGUGCAUAUGUUUCACAGAUGUCAUACUUUUUGGCUGGAAAGGCAUCAUGGGAAAUCACGUGGCUCUAUAGUUACUUAAAAUUUUAUGUUAGAUUUACUUAAUUUUUAUGCAAUUGUUAUAGUAGUUAGCAUUACUUAUGUUUUUUCAUUUUAUUUUUGGAUAAAAAUUUAAGUUACCAGGUGAACUUAAAUGUGUGUUACACAUACUAAAUAUGUUAAGUAGAGGUUGAAAAGUUAUAAAUACUAAGUUUUUCAUGUUUAAUCUAAUUACUUCUAAUCUAAUUAAUAAGUUAUGGUUGUUCAGCCAACUAAUAGUUUUUUAGGUUAAUUUAAAACACAUGAUAUGCAUACAAACCACUCAAUAUUUUUAAUUAAAACCAAAAACGAUAUUGUAAAGGAUUAAAUCAUGUAAAAAUUAAAUUAGGGUCAGCAUAUUUUUUCAGUAAACCUGAAAAGAAUGUAAAAAAACUAAACAUUCACCUGAGUAUUUUUAUAUACUCAAUAAAAAACACAUUUCUGUAUAUAAAACAGUCUAAAGAUAAAAAAUUGAAACAGUAUAUGCUUCAAAUGUGCAAUGUAUAAUUGUUGUAUUUUUACUUAUAUCACACUAUUUUGCAUCAGAUUUUACAAAGGGGGGAAAAUUCCUAUCUUUAUUUUUAUCUGCUUCCGUUCUGCGUGUAUCUUCUACCACUGUUGUCUUAGUCACCAGCCGUUCCCAUGCCUUCCCUCAAUCUCUUUCCCUCUCCAUCAUAUCAUCCUCCUCCUCCUCUCCACAAGCUUUCCUUUAUCUGUUUGUCUCUUUGAGUUCCCUGGGCAAGAUGUAUUGAUAAUUUCCUGCAAAAAUAUGAUUCCAGUUUAUUCUACAGAGAAAAAAUCCAAUAGCGCAGCCUCCAAUUGGAUUGGGUUUUUCAGUGGAGUACAGAACAAUAGAGAGAGAAAGGACCUGGCCCCAGACAUUCUACAUGAGAUUAUUGUUAAACAGAGACCUGAUAGAAUUACAUGCUACAAUAGAUGAUAAUUGCAUCACAACAUGAUUUCUCUGUGCCGUACAACAGCGCAUAUUCAUCUGCCAUAUCCAUCCACUCAGGGCACCGAUGUGGCACGAGGCAAGGCUGAACCUGAAGAAAGGUGAAGAUGGGGAGGCCUCGAUAAAGGGUUAUUGAAAGUUAUAAAGACAAACUCAACAUAAUCAGCUGUGCAAACAGAAGACUGAAGAAUUUUCAACUGAAGGAAUUCAUGGUGAACAGGAACAAGGCAGUUCUGCAGGAUACCUUGUCUGUGGCCUUGGUUGGAUGAAAGGCAGUCUUGGCAGGAGAUUAGAGACUACUAAUUGUGGUUUUGACUGAUGCUGUGUCUGAAAAUGGUGAGGUGGAGUGAAGCAGA